rnacentral:rRNA from 1 species
GAUGAGCGCUAGCGGCAGGCCUAAUACAUGCAAGACGAACGGUAAGUUGAGUAGCAAUACUUGACCUAGAGUGUCGCACGGGUGCGUAACACGUAUGCAACCUACCCAUAACAGGAGGAUAGCUCCCCGAAAGGGGAAUUAACCCUCCAUAGUAAUAUUGGAUGGCAUCAUUUGAUAUUUAAAACUGAGGUGGUUAUGGAUGGGCAUGCGUCUGAUUAGUUAGUUGGCGGUGUAACGGACCACCAAGACGAUGAUCAGUAGGGGAACUGAGAGGUUGAUCCCCCACACUGGCACUGAGAUACGGGCCAGACUCCUACGGGAGGCAGCAGUAGGGAAUAUUGGUCAAUGGAUGGAAGUCUGAACCAGCCAUGCCGCGUGCAGGAAGAAGGCCUUAUGGGUUGUAAACUGCUUUUGCCAGGGGAUAAAAUAGCUGUGCGCAGCGGAUUGCAGGUACCUGGUGAAUAAGCCACGGCUAACUACGUGCCAGCAGCCGCGGUAAUACGUAGGUGGCAAGCGUUGUCCGGAUUUAUUGGGUUUAAAGGGUGCGUAGGCGGCCUUGUAAGUCAGUGGUGAAAUACUCCAGCUUAACUGGAGGGGUGCCAUUGAUACUGCAGGGCUUGAGUAAAGUUGAAGUUGGCGGAAUUGACGGUGUAGCGGUGAAAUGCUUAGAUAUCGUCAAGAACACCGAUAGUGAAGACAGCUAACUAAGCUUUAACUGACGCUGAGGCACGAAAGUGUGGGGAUCAAACAGGAUUAGAUACCCUGGUAGUCCACACUGUAAACGUUGAUGACUCGCUGUUGGCGAUACACUGCCAGCGGCCAAGCGCAAGCGAUAAGUCAUCCACCUGGGGAGUACGCCGGCAACAGUG